AUUUUUUUUAAUUUUUUAAAGUAUUUAUUUUUAUAUUUAUUAGAAUCAUAAAUUUUACAUUCCAAAAACUCUACCUCACCUUUCAACUCUAAACCUUAAGUCUAGAUUAGUUCCCCUUAAUCCUAAGAAUAUAAGUGUUUUUUACCUUUCAUUAAAAGUGAGAGUAAAAUUGAUUAGUGUAAACAUGAAAUGUGGUACUAUGAAUGUGGUAUUUGUGGCAAUUUCCCUAAUAACUAGACCCAUAACAUAAUAAAAUAACUAUUAAUUGGAUCCACAAAAUAAUAAAAUAAAAUAACUAUGAACUAAUUUUUAAUCAGUUAAUUUUAUCAAGUUAAAACGUAUAAAUAUAAUUUUAAAUAUUCUAGCUUUAGAAAUAUUCAUUUUAUAAAUGAAAAUAAUUAAUAGGUAUUACUCAGUGUAAAAACUUAGUUUCUAUGUUAUUUAUAUAUUUUUAUUUAUUUUAUGUUGAAAUUUUCCAUAAAAUAUAAUAUUUAAUAUUUAUGUUUUGUGUGCAUAUUUAAUCAAGAUUAUUUUAUAAACCUAAUUUAAGUAUUAAGCUAUUAAAUUAAUUAAUAAUUUUAAUAAUAAUGAAUUAAUAUAUUAAUUUUGAUAGUCAAUAUUAAUUAUUUUAAAUAAAAUUACGAAUUUAUUUAAUCACUAGACGACUAAAGUAUUUUAUAAUGAAGACUGCAAAUUUUAAAUCUAAAAGUUAAAAUAUUUUUGAUGGGAUAAUCAAUAAAUAACACAUAAGAGUAAUAUCAAUUUCAUCUUAUGUUUGGAAAUUCAUAAAAUAGAUAGAUGUCUUUGUAAAAAUAAUAAUAUAUGAUUUAUUAUAAUAAUUAUGUUGUGCUGUUUUCCAUGAAAAUAACCAAUAUCUUAAGUGAUUUAUUUUUGAUCAAAAUAGGUUAUUUCUUAUCAUUAGUAUUUUUAGAAAGAAAAAUAAGAAACAUAGGAAGAAAUUUAUUCUGUUGAAAAUUUUAGAUUUUGUUCAUAUCAAAAUGUUUUACAGUGACAGUACCUUUGGAUGCAGAGAGGAAUAACAACUAAGAUUUUUAAACAAAUUUAUAUUAAUUAGUGUUUUAAAUGAUAAUUUUUCUGCAAUAUUUAUAGUGAAAUAAAAACAAAACAAACAAUAUACAGAUAUCUUGGAUUAAAUCAAUUUAUAACUCUUGUGAUAUAGAUUGGAUUAUGUAAUAUUUAAUUUUCACAUAUUUUAAAACAUUUAUUAUAUUUUGAUUACUUCUGUCUGUUAUUUUAGCUGAUAAAUUAUCUCUACAAAUAGUGUUUAUUAAAUUUCAUUGUAAAUAUUUAUUCUCAACUAGAAACACUUCUACUUGCUUGAUUUGUCUUUUACUGUUUAUUUUACUAAUAUAAUUAGUUGAAAACUAUUUUUCUCUUUAUUGAGAAGUGUAUUGUACUUCUGAAAUGGUAUUUGUGUAACACUUCGAGUGGAAAAUGUCUAACCCCUUGAAGAAGAAAGAUAAUAAGAGUCCUUAUUUAGGAUUUAAAAAGAAAAAAUAAAAAAAAAAUCAGUUUUUCCUCCUAAUAUUCGGCUUUUAUAUAAGAUAAUCUCUUUUAUAAAAGUAUCCUUUGAUCCUAUAAAUAUUUUAGCAAAAAAUAAUGUCUUUUAUAAAAAUAUCCUUAAGCGGCAAAAUAGAAUGGUAUACGUAUCAAGUUCCGACAGAACUUUGAGUUAAGCAGCCGUUCUUUCCCGCUCUUAUUCCCUUAUAAAGCACCUCUUGAACAUCUCUUCCUAUAAAUACCUCUUCUUUACACACACAACCUCUUCAUCAGUCUUUAUAGUUAGUUCAAUAUCAUGAGUAAUAUGAACAACGACCAAGAAAGCAUUCAGUUUUGGUCCUCACUUCUCCACUCGCUUGCUGAUUCCGACCCUAAGGAUGAUCACUUACCCGAGAUCAGUAGCCCGAUAAUGGUGAUGUCUACAUCGAUGGCUAUAGAUGUUUCACCUAAACCUUUUAAUGCUCCUAGAGAUGGACAUAAGGCUGGACCGCAAAAAGCUAUAGUCGAAACUGGAGAUGGGAGCAUUGAUGAGGGUGGUCAGAGAUCUGCUGAAAAGCAUAUUGAGAUAAAGAAAGAAGGGGAAAAAGAAGAAAUAAAGAAUUUUGGUAAGAGUAAGAGACCACGUACUACUGAAGCUCGUAAUAUUGCUGAGAAGAGGAGACGCACCGAUAUAAAAACUAAAAUUGAAAAUCUGAAGCAGUUGACACCUAAUUGCAAAAAGGUGCACACCAUUUGUUUGCCUCCUUAUAGUUUUCAUCUCUGAUUCUGUCAUUUUGAAUACAAAGAUUUGCGUUUGCGUUUUUAGUCAAAACAUGUUGCUUACAUAUAAAAAAAAAGCCAAUAAAGUUUUCUCAUUUGCGUUUGAAAUUUUCAGUAUACUUCUAAUUCUAACUGCAAACCUAAAAUAUUGUGUUCUCUUUUUGUAAUACAAUAAAGUAAAAACAUAAUAAUUUAAAAUAGAAAACACAGUUGAAUUGAUGUUACUUAUCCUUUUUGUAUUUAAUUUGUUAUUCAUAUGAAUCUGCAGAGAGACAUAGCAUCGACACUUGAUUGUAUCAUAGAUAAUAUACGCUGGAUGAAGCAUUAUGUAGAAGUAAGUAACUCAAUCAUACUUUAUUAUAUAUAUAUAGAGACAUGUAUGUAUACACCAGUGUAAACUGGAUAUUAUGGUUAAAAAUAUAAAGUAACCGAAUUUAGCAUGUAACUGUACACAAAUAUAUUUGUUUUUAAAUUAGUUUUACAAAAAGUAUGUUCCAGUUUCAGUUGGAUUAAGUUUUGAUCAAUUUUUAUCAUUAUCGUUUGCAUUGGUUUGGUUUAGUUUGCUGUAUCAUUUUUUCUACAUUUUUAAGAAACUAAAUAUAAAUGAAUGUCAUUUUUUUAUACGUUGCAUGACACAUGACGACACCGGUAACGAAACUUGCCAUGACCAAACUACAAAUUGUAACGCUACAGAGUCAGAGCAUGGGGCCCAUGUUACCACUUGGAAUUAAGAUGGAUUUUCCGGCACCAUGGUUCCCUUCUAUUCCUCCCAACUUCAUCAUGCCGCCGUUCAGUGGUUUUACCCCAGGAGAAACUAGCUGUGCCUAUGGCAAUCAAAAUAUUGAACCUUCUACCACCAAGGUUUAAUUUGUGUUCUUAUUCAUAUAUUUUCUAUAUUUUAUUGUUGCUGUUGUUUUAUUUAUUUAUUCAUUUUUGGUUCAAAAUGGACAAUUUAAAGGGAGUCAACAAUCAACCACACUCGUCAAGAUCUAUGUGAGCUAGUGGUGUUUUUAUAUUUCAGACGUCUGGUUCCUCAAGUUCGUUUAUACUAUGUGUAUGUUUAUUGUUUAGUAGUUUUUUUUUUGUGCAACAUCGUUUAGUAGUUUAAAGUUGUUCUACCAAGAUUACAAGACUGUGGCGUGCUCUACCAAGUUACAAAAAAAAAAGACUGUGGCGUGCUCUUUUUUCGUUCGUCAGAGCGUAUUUAUGUUGUAACUUUGUGUUUUUUUUGUAACUUUGUGUUAUAUUUCAAUGUAAACUUAUGCAAAGUUUUAUAUUAAGUGGUUUACAUGCAAUUUUUUUGUUUUGCUAAUUGGAAGAACACAAGCAAAUUCCGAAAUGCGAUGUAUAAUACAUAAGGAAUAUCCCUUCACAGUGAAGGGCAGAGGUUUAGGUAAAUGAUGGGAAGCUAUUUUUUUGCUAAGACCUAUAUGAGCACAUGUAUAAUCCAUAAGAAUGUUGAAGCCGCGCCUGCUCAGUUGACUAAGAAGGAGAGGUGUCACAUUUUAUUGUCAUCUUUGAAGUACUAGUAAAGGAAAGGCUUAUAUACGAGGAUUUAUGAGCGGGAAUGUGUGAGUAAAAGGCUUUUAGAAAUACGGUGUGCUUCCAUACCUAUAAAGUAAGAUAAGUUGCCCAAGCCUUUUAGGGAGAAUCUUGAUGACAAUGAUUGAAUGAAUCGUUGGAGUUUGUUGUUGUUGGGCCGGUGAGAAUGAUGUUGUCAGCGUAGAAAAGCUUGUAGAUAAGUGUUGCUGUGAUUGUAUAUGAAGAGGCUUGCAUCAGAGAGUCAGUUUGUGAAGCCGGAUUGUAGAAGGAAUGAUCUACCUCGUUGUACCAAGCCUAUGUGGCUUGUUUGCCGUACACAACUUUUUGUAGCCUACAAAACCACAUUUGGAUUACCUUGGCCAGUGAAUCCUAGCGGUUGCAUCACAUAUACUUCAUCAUCAAAUUUCCCUCGGAGAAAGGUGUGACGUCUAAUUGUCGCAUCGGCCAGUGGUUAGAGACAAAAACUCUAAGCACAAAGACUAACUGUUGUUGAUUUGACGAUGAGAUGGAAAUUUUCAUUGAGAAAGUAAUAAGAAAUCCUUUUGUCAUUAUCUUUAUCUAUCUUACACAGACUUCUCGCCCAGUUUGAGGAUUUUCAGUUUCCACAGAUACUCAGCUAUAAGAUUUGUCAACUAAAGGGUCAAAAUGGUGGAUUUCAACCCUGCUUUUGGGAAAUGUCAAAAGUGUACAUGUUUGUUGUAGUGCAGCAAAUGUUUUCUUCUUCUCUCACUCAUGAACAGGCUGCUUUUCAGCUAGUGGGUAAAGAGAGGCAGAAUUUUAUCAUCGAAAUGAACUAUUCCUAUAUUUAAGCCCUCGUUCAAAAAAAGUAAAACAAACCAACCUCUGUUACAUUGGUGAAGCUAUUUCAAUAUUACGUACACAACCAAAAGGACUUAAAUCUUCUACUUUGUACUAACAAAACAAUCAUCAGAUUAACCAACAAAUGUUACUCUUGGGUUUCAAGUCUCAGAGAUAGCCGACCUCUUGCACGUUAUUCACUUAUUACCUUGCGGUUAUCAAUAUUACUAUUGUCUAUAGGUAUACGAUUCUUAUUCUUUUACCGUUGUUCAUUUAACCAGCUUGGAGAACUUGUUGGGUGUGCAGCCAGCUGCCGUAAGGACAGAUAUCACCAGCAAGAACCAUUCUGCAAACCUCAGUCUUGUAACGAGGAUGUCGGAUCACUGGGCGGAGUUCUUUAAUACCAUGAGCGAACUGGCAACUGUCACCAUAUGGGCAUGUCCCUGUGCCAUCCCUUGAUUGUAAUUUGUAACCUCCAUUUCUAUUUCCUCCCUCUUCUUCUUCUUUCUUCCCUCCUCGCACAUAUACCUUUUGCUGCGGUUUCCAUUUAUUCAUUCGUCACCAUUAAUAAGUCUUUAUUUCAAAUAAUGCCACAAGAACAGUGAAUAGAGCAUAGUGUGGUAUAUAUAUGCAUCUCAGAUUCGAGAGUUAUCUAUGGUAUUUAAGUGAUUACUUAUUUCCUAAAACUAUAGCCAAAAUCGACUCUAACUAAAGCCUCCUCUCAGAUAAAUUUUUUUCCAGCAUUUCAUUCAAUCAUGGCCCUUUACUCAUCACCAUUAGUUACUUACUCCUCCUAUAGCUCACACAAAGCAGAGUAGUAGAGGCAUGUGGUAUCAUAUAAAAUGAAAUUUUGAAAAAAACAAUUUCUAAAAAAUUAUAAAAAAGUUCGAAUUUGAAAAAGUAUAAUUCGAAAACAUAAAAAAAAACUAUUCUUUUAUUUUUUUUUUUAAAUAAUUAUUUAUUAUAUAUAUAGAGAACAAUGGUAUAAGAGUCUUUUGCCACUUAAUGAAAAAGCUAUUUUUGAAAAUAUCUCUUUAAUAGUGGUAAACAUGAAUAAUGGUACUAAAAAAAUGGUAAACAUGAAGUUCUUUUUGAUAUUACUUGCAAAAUAAUCUAAAAGAUAUUACAAAUAAUGAUUUAUGGUAUAAACUAUAUAAAAUAAUAUGAAAACAACAUACAGAAAUUGAUAUAAUAAUUUCCUAUUUUAUAUAAAGCAUUAUAUUCAUAUACAAAGUAUUAAGAUAAAUAUUAUUGUCUUACAAAGUCCAUGCAAUUUUUUUGUUGUUGAGAAAGUUCAUCUCUACAUGCAUUCAAUGUAAUUUUCUGUAAUUCCUUGCAAUUUCUCUAUUGAUCCUUCCAGUAAGAGAGUGAUGAAAUUUUAAUUUCUAAACAUACAGAUCGAUGGCUUUUGAUGAUACUCUUUAAGAGAAUUUUUUCAAGGAUUAAGAAAAACACAUUUUUAUUGUGAAGCUAGUGAAAGGUUGAGGAAGAUUAAAGUCCAGGUUAGUGAGAUUAAACAUUUCCAAACUCUUCAAUCAUAAUUUUCAUCAUGUUGAUUUUUUAUGAAUCUUUAUCUCCUCUAAUGUACUUAUAAUAAUUAAUCAUUUUAACAUUAUACAUUUGAUCAAUAUCAUUUUAAAGUAGACUAAAUUAAUUAUCGAUUUGCUAGGAAAUGUUUAUUGACAGAAUUUGAGAAUAUUUACUGACUUUAAAUUUUAAUUAUAUAUUAUUGAAAUUUGGUCUUAUUUGUAAAAAAAAUUAUCCAUGCGUAGCAUUGGAUCCAUACUAGUAUAUUAUAGAUUAGAAGCUUACAUUUGUUCGGGUCAGAAAGAAGCUUAAUAUUUAAGAAAACAGUUACAGCCAUAAAAAAAUAAUUAAGAGAAUACUUUGACAAAAAAAAAGGAAAAAAAAAAAGAAAGGAAUCAAAAGACACGUAAUAUUUCAUGGCUAACCCUAGCACCCUAGAUGUCGAACGCUCCGACAUUUAUAGAACAUUAUAAUUGUUAUUUAUGUCGAAACCAAAAUAGUAGAUUCGAUGAUUCUUAUACAAAACAUACAUACGAAUUAUAAUACGUCAGCGUAACUAUAAAUAUAUGACAUCAUUAUGUGCUUGGAUAACUGGAUGAUCACAAGAAAUAAAUAAUAAUAGAAAAAUAUGGGAACUUGUCUCGUCUUAUUUAUAGCUUCGUGAGAAUUUUUUGGAUCUGAUUUUAUUAAUCGCGUUUCAAAUUAGUAUAGUAAUAUUUGCAGAGUAAAUAACCGUCGAAAAGCUUCUUAGAAUUUAGAACAACAUCGAUGAUCUCUCACCAAAAUAUUUCACUAAAUAAUCAAUAAAAAGGUAAAAAUAAAAAGAGUGAUGAAACUCUCAAAUAAUGGAGACCCCUAUCCACUUGUUUUAAUUUAAAUGAACAUAAUUUUUAGCCUUAAAAUUUAAUUAUAUAGUUAAAAAUUUUAAAUAUCAAUUUAUUAUUGCGAAUAUUUUUUAUCUACAAAAUGGAUAAGUAAAAAUGCUUUUAGUAAAACAGUAUUUGAGUCUUUCCCAAAUUUCUCAUCUUUAAAAUAAGAAAAAAAAUUGAAAGAAAAAUAAAGUGAGCCAAAAAAGGAAGAAGCAUUUUAAAAAAUUACAAAGUAUAUGAGAAAUUUAUGUGUGAUAUUACUUUAUGAAUAAUUAUUUUUAUUAUAUAAUGAAUUAUAUUAAUACUUAAGACAUGAAAUACUCUAUGGAAAAUUAUACUAGUAAUGUAGAAUAGCAAAAUUAGAUGGAUAAGCAAAUUAACAAAAAAAAAAAACUUAAGCGGCAAAACUGAAUGUACAGAAUUAUACAUCAAACUAUCAAAGCAGGAGGUAGAAAUUACUUUUAUAGGGGGUCAUUAGAAACAAAUUUGAUAAUAAAAUCCUAAUCUCUAUAUUUUAAUAAUAACAGAUAGAACAAAAUAAAUAAAAUAUUAGGUGCAUCUGAAAGACUGAACAUAUAUUUUACUGAGGGUCAAAGACUAAUUUUAAUUAAACAUUUCACCAAAAUCCUUCAAAACUACCCUAAAAUACAAUAAAUAUUAAUUUGAUAGGGGUAGUGGUUAAAUAAUAAUAAUUUGAGGGGUCAUAUAUAUGACCCUAACCCUUCACUAACAUCAAACGGUAUACGAGCAAGCUCCGACAGCACUUUGAGUUAAGCAACCGUUCUUUCCCGCUCUUGUUCCUUUUUAAGGCACCUCUCCAACAUCUCUUCCUAUAAAUACUAUCUUCCUUACUCACACAACCUCUUCAUCAGUCUUUAGUUAGCUCACUAUCACGAGUAAUAUGGACAAGGAUCGAGAAAGCCUUCAGUUUUGGUCAUCACUUCUCUACUCCCUUGCUGAUUCCGACCCUAAGGAUGGUCUCUUUCCCGAGAUCAGCAGCCCGAUAAUGGUGAUGUCUACAUCGAUGGCUACAGAUGUUUCGCCUAAACCUUCUAAUGCUCCUGGAGAUGGAGAUAAGGCUGGACAGGGAAAAACUAUAGCCGAAACAGGAGAUAAGAUUAUUCAUGAGGGUGGGCAGCGGUCUGCUGAAAAACAGAUUGAGGUGGUACGUUCAGUUUCUUAAAUAUACAUGUGUAUAUGAGUUAUGUCUUAAUACGAGCUUUAUCUUAUUAAAUGUAAGGAAAAGAAAGUAGGUGCAAUUAAAGAAACAAAGAAUCUUGGUAAGAGACCACGUACUAAUGAAGCUCGUAAUAUUGCCGAGAAGGUGAGGGAACUCCUUUCUUAGUUUGAUGCAUGUCUAUUAAGAAAACAUGUUGCAUUCAACCUUUUAUCUCUCACAACGCAGAGGAGACGCGCUGAUAUAAAAACCAAAAUUGAGAAUCUGAAGCAGUUGACACCCAAUUGCAAAAAGGUGUACACCAUUUACCUCUUUAGUUUUCAUUUCUUAUAUUGUCAUUUUGAAUACAAAAAUUUGCGUUUGCGUUUGUGUUUCUUAAGUUAAAAACAUGUUGCUGAUAUAUAAAAAAAACUCCGUUCUGGCCAACAGAUUCGGUGUAGUUAAUUUAUCCAUUCAUUAUAUUGAAAAAUACAUUAAAACUAGCUAUUAAAAUCUUCUCUCAUUUGCGUUUUGAAAUUUAUAUAAAAUCUACCUAUAAUAUUGUCUUCUCUUUUUGAAACACAAUAAAUUAACAUGUAAAUCUAAAAACAGCCUCUAACUAAAAAUAAUAAUAAAACAAUUGAGUCUAUAUUACUUAUUUUUUGUUUUGAUUUAAAAUUAAUUUGUCAUAUAUAUGAAUCUGCAGAGAGACAUCGCCUCGACCCUUGAUUGUAUCAUCGAUAAUAUACGCUGGAUGAAGCAUUAUGUAGAAGUAAGUAAACUAAAUCAUUAACUUCUUAUAUAUACAUAUACAGAGACAUGUAUAACUAAUUAAAGUUUAAUCUUGAUUUUCUGGUUAAGAAAAAAAGUUAUAUUAAAAGAAACUGCAUUUUGGUAUGUAAUUUUAGACAAUUUCUUGUUUUUUUAAAUAAAAAUAAAACUAGUUUCCAAUAAAAUUAUGUUUGAGUUUCAGUUGGAUUUAGUUUUGACUUUUUGUUCUCAUAUACGAAGUAUAUACACAGUUUGGUCUGGUUUGGAUAACUUUUCUUGUUUACAUUGGCAUGGGGGGUAUCAAUUUUUCUAGUUUUAAAAAAAUAUAGAACUGUAAAUAUAAAUUGAGUGUCAUAUUUUUAUACGUUGCAUGAGACAAAGGACACAUAUAACGAAACUUGCCAUGAACAAACUACAAAAUGUAACAAUACAGAGUCAGAGCAUGGGUCCCAUGUUACCACUUGGAAUGAAGAUGGAUUUUCCGGCACCAUGGUUCCCUUUUAGCCCUCCCAACUUCAUCAUGCCGCGGUUCGUUGCUUUUACCCCAGGAGAAACUAGCGGUGGCAAUCAACAAAGUGUACCUGUUACUACCAAGAAUUUAUAGGGAUUCAACAAUCAGCCGUACUCGUCAAAAUCUACGUGAGGUAGUGGUGUUUGAUCAAUACUUUAGACGCAUGGUAUCCUUCGUUUUUAGUAAUAUAUAUGUUUAUUGUGUAGUAGUUUAGAGUUGUUCUCCCAAGUUUCCAAGACUGUGGCAUGCUCUUUUGUUCGUUCGCCGCGUUGUUAUUAUGUUGUCACUAUAGUAUUGUUCAUCGUAAACUUAUACGCAUAGUUUUAUAUUAAGCUGUUUACAUGCAAAGUUUUAUAUUAUGCUGGAUCUACAUAACGCUUUCAGGAUCAUAUUAGAAAAAUAUGGAAAUAACAAAAAUGUUCUAGAAAGACCUGUGAUUCAGUUGCAAAACAAAAAGGUCACUAGAAACUUGGAUGGAGUAAUUUCAUCCAACUUAAGAGAUUAAAUUGUAGUUCAAGGAUACACGAAAAAGAAGAAAGCAACAACCUCUUCAUUCAUAUAGUAUGUUAUCGUACCAGCGACAAAUGCUUCAACAUAUUCAGUUCUCUCUUUUUUUUUUUUAAAUAUAAAUCGAGAGGGGCCCUGAUUGAGAGUCGAGUGAAGCAGCUGAACCAGUGUAAGAAGUUUCACUACAAAAAAACAUAGAUGUAAGAAUUAACGAAAAAUAUAUUUUUUGCUAAAAAAAUAAAUAAGAAGUGGGGUUAGAGUUUGAUAAAUUUGUGUCAAACCAAAGAGAUUGUUGCCUAAAGUUGAAAAUCCUCUAAGAUUUGUUUUUAUGCUUCAUAACUGGGUUUGAUUUUAAGGAGUCUAUGUGUGAUUCAUGAUCCGAUGUGAACGUCAUGUCAAAAACAAUCGCUGAGAAGUUGAGAAUCAAUAGGAUUCAGCCACCCAAGAUGACUCUUACCUUUGCUAACUUCUCUAGAAUUCCAGAAUUACAUGUAUGCGUCAAAAUUUUCUGGUUCAUGUUGAUUUUUAAGUUGUGGAGAUGGUUAAAAAGUCUAUUGUACCAUUGAUUCUUGGAAGGCCAUUCAUGGCUAUAUAUAGUAGGUGCAAUAAUUGAUCUUUUCAACAAGUGAGUGUCAUUUGCAAACAUAGACAAGAAAGUCUUUUACAAGGCAAUUCUUACCAGUAGAAUGCAAAGGCAUGAAUGUUGUAUCAUUGUGGAUGUUGUUCAUAUAAAAGAGGUCAGUGAAAAAAGAGAUGUCAAAGAAAUCCUGGAUGGAGACUCUCAAGUGAAUGUCAGUGAGCAGCCUAGUACCAAAGUCAAACGUGAAAGGCAAAAGGAUCAAGGUAGGUUCUUCUGGAUGGAGAUUCAGUUGAGUAUGAGAUGAAUUGCAAAGGAACAUCGAAACCUUUCUCUAAGAUUAGAGUAUUAUUUUCAUAUGAGUUCAAGCAAAAGGGACAAGAGGAUGUGGGAAGCCUGUUGAAUGGCAUUCUGGAGCUCAGCAUGUCCAACUGUGGAGCUUAUUUUAGAGAAAGUUCUUAUACUCAACCCGGUUGAUUUCCAUUUCAAAGUCGAGCUAAAGACUUUAUACAACAAUUUUGUGGGAGACGAACCACUGGUGGUAAGUGUAAACAAUCUCUCUAUUUUUGUUUUGCAGUUUAAUUUUUAGUGAUAAAACUCUUCACCUAUUUCUGAAUCGGAAGAAAAUAUCUCAAUUAAUUUUUUUUAUUGUUUUAACUUUUCAUCUUACAAACCGUUAAUGAUUCUAAAAAAGGCGAAGCCCAAUGACCAAACAACUCACAAAAGACCCAAACCAAAAAAGAACUCAAAAGCCUAGCCACUUGCUCGAAAAGGAAACCCCGCCGCACAACAGGCGAACCACCACAAAACCAACCACCGAGCCACCACAGACGACACAGUAACGAGGAUCUGGAAAGAGGUAGACACCCGAGAACACGAACGAGACUGCCACCGUAAGAAAUCGAAACAGUAAAAUGCCAGUGAAAAACUACUAAAGGUAAGGUUCAACAGAAGAGGAUAAUGAGCAGGAGAAAUAGGUGUUAAGGCCGAGCCAGUCGGAGGCCACUGCCGAAGAUCCCUUUCACGCACUCGCCAUCACACUCAUGAAUUCCAACAGUUCAAGCUUCUCCAACCUCCCUCUCACCGCUACACACCACCUAACAUAUCAUUUGAUCUCCCUUUCAUGGAAGUAAAAACCAAUCUAAACCAUGUGUUCAUAAAUAGGUGUUAAAUAUUAAUUUAUAAAGUGUCUACUAUAAUAUAACAACAAACAUCCCCUCUUUAGCAAAGAACAAAGAAAAAAACCAUUUUGGCAGCGAAAAACUAAGAAAAUUUUGUUUUCAUUUAAUUAUCUUUUUGUGCAUCCUAAAAUGAUGAAAGCUCCGAUCAUUUUUACUUUUACCGAUGUGGCACAUACAUACUGAUUAAAUCUAUUUUGAUAAUAGCUAUU